rnacentral:pre_miRNA from 1 species
UCUUAUGGAUGAGCAAAGAAAGUGCUUUCUUGAGACAGAAACUACCCUGGGUGAAGAUACUGUGAA